rnacentral:rRNA from 1 species
GACGCUGAUGGACGAAAGCGUGGGUAGCGAACAGGAUUAGAUACCCUGGUAGUCCACGCCGUAAACGAUGGUUACUAGCUGUUUGGUACGAUUGAGUACUGAGUGGCCAAGCGAAAGUGAUAAGUAACCCACCUGGGGAGUACGUUCGCAAGAAUGAAACUCAAAGGAAUUGACGGGGCCCGCACAAGCGGUGGAGCAUGUGGUUUAAUUCGAUGAUACGCGAGGAACCUUACCAGGGCUUAAAUGCAUAUUGACAGGUUUAGAAAUAGACUUUUCUUCGGACAAUUUGCAAGGUGCUGCAUGGUUGUCGUCAGCUCGUGCCGUGAGGUGUCAGGUUAAGUCCUAUAACGAGCGCAACCCCUAUUACUAGUUGCCAGCGAGUCAAGUCGGGGACUCUAGUGAGACUGCCGGUGCAAACCGUGAGGAAGGUGGGGAUGACGUCAAAUCAUCACGGCCCUUACGUCCUGGGCCACACACGUGCUACAAUGGUAGGGACAGAGAGCAGCCACUUCGUGAGAAGGAGCGAAUCUUCAAACCCUAUCUCAGUUCGGAUCGUAGUCUGCAACUCGACUACGUGAAGCUGGAAUCGCUAGUAAUCGCAUAUCAGCCAUGAUGCGGUGAAUACGUUCCCGGGCCUUGUACACACCGCCCGUCAAGCCAUGGAAGCUGGGGGUGCCUGAAGUCGGUGACCGCAAGGAGCUGCCUAGGGUAAAACCGGUAACUGGGGCUAAGUCGUAACAAGGUAGCCGUACCGGAAGGUGCGGCUGGAACACCUCCUUUCUGGA